UACGGAGGGUGCAAGCGUUAUCCGGAUUUACUGGGUUUAAAGGGUGUGUAGGCGGACUUUUAAGUCAGCGGUGAAAUCUCCGGGCUCAACCCGGAAACUGCCAUUGAUACUAUUAGUCUUGAAUCUUGUUGAGGUGGGCGGAACGGGUCAUGUAGCGGUGAAAUGCAUAGAUAUGACCCGGAACACCGAUUGCGAAGGCAGCCCACUAAGCAAGUAUUGACGCUGAGGCACGAAAGCGUGGGGAUCAAACAGG
rnacentral:rRNA from 1 species